CACAAGGUUACAAUCAUUAAUAGGAAUGGAACAGGAAUGGUCGAACACUCUCCAUUGCACAUCAAUGGCUUGGCAGUGGAGAGAGCAAAGAGCACAAAGUUCCUUGAGGAGCACAUAACAUACAAUCUAAUCUUUCAUUAGACAAAAAAGGACAGCACAGUCUACAGUAUCUGAAGAGACGGAGGCAUGCAAGUCUCCCUGCUCUAUUCUAACAGCUUUCUACAUGAGCACCAUCGAUAGCACCCAGUCUGGCUGUGUAUAACUGUGAGGCACAGAAUCUGCAAGGCAUCAGAUUGCAAGACUCCACAGAGGAUAGUAAAAACUGUGGAGAGGAUCACUGGGGUCUUCCUCUCCAUUAGUUGUGGCAGUGUAGCUGAGAAUCCCUAACACCCAUCCCACAAUCUUUUUGACCCACUACAAUCAGGAAGCAGGAGCAUCAGGACUGGGACUUCCAGACUUUGAAGAUGCCACAGAAUCUGUGCUGGAGCAAUACCAAGACAUUCCCCUCUCAGUGGAAGUGAAAGUGAACCCUGUACGCAUAACUUACUCACUGCCGGAUGCUUCUGGGUACCAGCUGUUUAUUAACUCACUGGCAUAGCAGGACGAGUUGAAGCCACUGCUUGUUACCUGCAGUUCAGUGUACCUGGAGGCUCAUUCUCUCAUUUCCGAACUUCCCAUAGAAGAAUCUUCAUUAUUGUCUCUCUCUCAGCCUUUUGGCCACAGUGACAGUUGACAGUGUGUGGAGUAUAUUGACUGACAUACAAACACCAGAAUUAGGUAAGUGGAACCACGUAUAUUAUGCUGUGAAAGUUGCUCCUCAUCAACUAAUCCUAGUGAGGCCCGCUUUAUUACCUCCGGGCAAAUUCAAAUUGUGAUGAUCAACAAUUAGACUUAUUAUUUGCUGCUUAAUCCAGACUUUAAAAUGGACAUGCCAUAUUGCCAUGGAAACUACACUCUAUCAGCCUUCAUUUUGCCUUCCCUGUAUAUUUUGCCAAAGCUGAGAACUGCUUACUGAAUAUUAACUUCUUCUGCAAAAGUCAAUGUACCUAUUGUAGGACAUAAUUUUCAAAAAAUAAAUCAGAACUUUCUGUACUUUUGGGGGUAAAUGACUGAAUGAAAUACAAAAUACAUUCCAAUCUGAUGAUGGAUGGGCAGCAAGUACAAAUAUCUAACUCAGUCUAUAUGUAUAAUAACACCCAGAAAGUAUUCAGGAACCAAAAUCUUUGUUGUCCAGUGUCAUGUGAGAAAUCAGAUGAUUUGCCAAUUAGCCAGUGGAUGUUUAUGUUGCACACUUCAAUGGGGUUCCCAAUAAUCAUUCACCUUCUCAGAGAGAUUAUAUCAA